rnacentral:rRNA from 1 species
UCCUACGGGAGGCAGCAGUGGGGAAUAUUGCACAAUGGGGGAAACCCUGAUGCAGCAACGCCGCGUGAGUGAUGACGGUCUUCGGAUUGUAAAGCUCAGUCUUUAGGGACGAUAAUGACGGUACCUAAGGAGGAAGCCACGGCUAACUACGUGCCAGCAGCCGCGGUAAUA